AUUGAACGCUGGCGGCAUGCCUUACACAUGCAAGUCGAACGGUAACAGGUCUUCGGAUGCUGACGAGUGGCGAACGGGUGAGUAAUACAUCGGAACGUGCCUAGUAGUGGGGGAUAACUACUCGAAAGAGUGGCUAAUACCGCAUGAGAUCUACGGAUGAAAGCAGGGGAUCGCAAGACCUGGCGCUACUAGAGGGGCCAAUGUCAGAUUAGGUAGUUGGUGGGAUAAAAGCUUACCAAGCCGACGAUCUGUAGCUGGUCUGAGAGGACGAUCAGCCACACUGGGACUGAGAAACGGCCCAGACUCCUACGGGAGGCAGCAGUGGGGAAUUUUGGACAAUGGGCGCAAGCCUGAUCCAGCAAUGCCGCGUGCAGGAUGAAGGCCUUCGGGUUGUAAACUGCUUUUGUACGGAACGAAAAGCCCCGGGUUAAUACCCUGGGGUCAUGACGGUACCGUAAGAAUAAGCACCGGCUAACUACGUGCCAGCCGCCGCAGUAA
rnacentral:rRNA from 1 species